UCUUUCUCUUUCUCUUUCUCUCACCUCGAACACCAACAAAAACAACAUCAAAUAACAAAAUCACCCUUCCUCUUCGUUCAACUUCUAGAGAGAGAAACACAUAGCCCCAAUUUUCACAAGCUACGCUUCCAUCAUGACUCACUCGUACCAAUUCCAUGCCUUGCAUUUCCUGCACAACGUUAG